GUAGUCUCAAGAGCCUCAGCGGUUGAAGUCUUUGUUUCCACUCUCACCCAGCUUGGGCAGGGACAAAAAGAGAGAAGAGUGGACUAUGUAGAGUUUUUCCCCAAGUACUGACAGGUGUGCACAUGUCUUUGGUCUAGGACAGAUUGGCUUUCGGAGAAGGAAAACAUGUCACUGGUCCCUAGGAGCUGCUCUGUGACAAGUCUUGAUCCAGGAUGAGGCUCCUGGGACCCGGAAUGGCUUCUCCAUCCACGGCCCCUUGGCAGACAGAGAAUGCUUUGUGCAGAAAGAAGAAAGCAGUGCCCAGUAGAAGCCACCAGAAUCCCCUGACAUCCCCAGCAAUCCGGUGUGGGUGUGCUCAGAGUGACCCACUCGCUUCUCGGCCAUACCAUCUGCAAGCAGCAAGAGAGAGGGAAAGUGCCAGAGAGCAGGUGACUCUAGUCUCUCAGGUGAGGGCCUUAUUCUUUAAGACUCUGUAAAAAUAAUUAGUAAAUACGUAGGGUCAUGGUCAGCCGAGGAUCGGAACAGCUGGCAGAAGAUGGGAGCGAGAGGGCAGGUAAGAGGUACCAAAAUACAG
rnacentral:lncRNA from 1 species